rnacentral:rRNA from 1 species
AGGACGAACGCUGGCGGCGUGCUUAACACAUGCAAGUCGAGCGGAGAAUAUAGCAAUAUAUUCUUAGCGGCGGACGGGUGAGUAACGCGUGGGUAACCUGCCUUUUACAGGGGGAUAACACUGGGAAACUAGUGCUAAUACCGCAUAAAAUAGUGAAGUGGCAUCACUUUACUAUCAAAGGAGCAAUCCGGUAAAAGAUGGACCCGCGUCCGAUUAGCUAGUUGGAGGGGUAACGGCCCACCAAGGCGACGAUCGGUAGCCGAACUGAGAGGUUGAUCGGCCACAUUGGGACUGAGACACGGCCCAGACUCCUACGGGAGGCAGCAGUGGGGAAUAUUGCGCAAAUGGGGGAAACCCUGACGCAGCAACGCCGCGUGAAGGAUGAAGGUUUUCGGAUUGUAAACUUCUUUGAUUGGGGACGAUAAUGACGGUACCCAAAAAACAAGCCACGGCUAACUACGUGCCAGCCGCAGC